rnacentral:rRNA from 1 species
CCUACGGGAGGCAGCAGUGAGGAAUUUUCCGCAAUGGGCGCAAGCCUGACGGAGCGACGCCGCGUGAGGGACGAAGGCUUUCGGGUUGUAAAGCUCUUUCGGCAGGAACGAAACGGCGGACUCUAACAUAGUCUGUCAAUGACGGUACCUGAAGAAGAAGCACCGGCUAACUACGUGCCAGCAGCCGCGGUAAUACGUAGGGUGCGAGCGUUAAUCGGAAUUACUGGGCGUAAAGCGUGCGCAGGCGGCUUUGUAAGACGGAUGUGAAAUCCCUGGGCUUAACCGAGGAACUGCGUUCGGGACUGCAAAGCUAGAGUGCGGCAGAGGGGGGUGGAAUUCCUGGUGUAGCAGUGAAAUGCGUAGAGAUCAGGAGGAACACCGAUGGCGAAGGCAGCCCCCUGGGUUGGCACUGACGCUCAUGCACGAAAGCGUGGGGAGCAAACGGGAUUAGAUCCCCUUGUAGU